rnacentral:rRNA from 1 species
GUAAUGGUGGGCACUCUGUGGAGACUGCCCGGGUUACCGGGAGGAAGGUGGGGAUGACGUCAAGUCAUCCAUGGCCCUUACGCCUAGGGCUACACACGUACUACAAUGGUGGGUACAAAGGGCAGCGAACCGCGAGGUCGAGCGAAUCUCAAAAAACCCAUCAUAGUCCGGAUUGCAGUCUGCAACUCGACUGCAUGAAGUUGGAAUCGCUAGUAAUCCCGGAUCAGCAUGCCGGGGUGAAUACGUUCCCGGGCCUU